UAGGUUUUCCCAGAAAAGGAGCUGCCAAGCUCUUCAGAACUCUGUCCUCACGAUAUUUCCCAACUUUUUUGACCAGGUUCUGUUAACAGUCCUUUUCCAAAUUUGUGCUGAGGUAAGGAGGACUGGAAAACAGUCCAUUGGGAAAUCAUCUGAGAGUGGGUUCAUGUGACAGCUCUUUCUGCGACUUGUCAUGCCGUGAAUAGCAGAGCAACAGCCUUUCAGCACUCAACCAUGUCACUGCCUGCCUUGCUUUUGAUGGAACUGGGCUGACCUCCGUGUCCAGCCGCGAAGGCAUUUUCUGUUUUACGAGUCGCGGUGAGCAGAGAGCCAGCAGUAUUUGGUAAGAAGAAAUUAAGUCAGCAGAAAAAAUGGUCACAAAGCCCAGCUGCCAAAUAUUUCCAUUACAGAGAGCUCUCAGUCAAGUGUCUGCAGACAUAAUGAACAGGAACUGCAGCCAAGCCCACAGAAAAUUGGGGACAAUUCACUGGGAAGUUCACAGGACAGGCUGCAGCUCAUUUAUCCUUGCUCAAGGUGGUUGCUGUUCACAGCUGAGUCUCCUGAGAGGAUUAGCAAUACAACUAAUGAAGACUAAUAAUGCAGGCCUUUGUCAGCAAACUGAAAGCCACCAGCUGGAAGAUAUCCCACACCACAUCUUGAAGCAGCCAUCACAGUGUCUGCAAGCUUGACAUGUCCUUCCCUCCUCUGAGCACCUUGUGACAGCACAGCAAAUAAACCAGCUCCUGUGUGUGUUUAGAUUGUACUC
rnacentral:lncRNA from 1 species